rnacentral:rRNA from 1 species
UACGUAGGGGGCAAGCGUUGUCCGGAAUCAUUGGGCGUAAAGAGCGUGUAGGCGGCCCGGUAAGUCCGCUGUGAAAGUCCAGGGCUCAACCCUGGGAUGCCGGUGGAUACUGUCGGGCUCGAGUCCGGAAGAGGAGUGUGGAAUUCCUGGUGUAGCGGUGAAAUGCGCAGAUAUCAGGAGGAACACCAAUGGCGAAGGCGGCUCACUGGACCGGUACUGACGCUGAUGCGCGAAAGCUAGGGGAGCAAACGGG